GAAAUUCCGAACACAGAUCCUGCAGAAAUGUAGAGCAUACCUUCAAUCCAAUGAUGUCCCUGUAGUACAGCAUAAAGGAGAAGAGGUUAAAGCUAUUUGCUGUGCCUGACACAAGGAUCUCAAAGCACAUUUGGAAAAAGCAAAGUAUCAGAUCAAAUUUGUAAAAGGGCCUGUCAGUCACAAUUUGACUGCAUUCUGUUCAUUCUUUUGACCAAUCUUAAACCAAGGAGCCCCUCUGGCGGGGUCCAUAUCUUCAAGAGCACCCAAAGGAAACUCAUGCAGACAUGGGAGAAUGUGCAAACACCAGACAGACAUCGCCAGAGGGUGGAAUCGAACCGGGAUCCCAUGCUCUGCCACUGUGUCACUCAGUUAAAAUCCCAAAAAUACAACUUUUUCACUUUGAUAAAGAAAUCGUAGUCUACUAACAUCAUACUGUAACAAGAAUGUUGAUGUAUAUUACUUGUUUUACAUAUUUUUGUGAAGAA